UACAGAGGGUGCGAGCGUUGUUCGGAAUUAUUGGGCGUAAAGCGCUUGUAGGCGGCACGUCAAGUCGCGUGUGAAAUCCCCAGGCUUAACCUGGGAAGUGCGCGCGAAACUGACGAGCUUGAGUGCCGGAGAGGGUCGCGGAAUUCCCGGUGUAGAGGUGAAAUUCGUAGAUAUCAAGCGGAACACCGGUGGCGAAGGCGGCCUUCUGGGACAGUGACUGACGCUGAGA
rnacentral:rRNA from 1 species